GACGAACGCUGGCGGCGUGCUUAACACAUGCAAGUCGAACGAAGUGGCGAACGGGUGAGUAACGCGUAAUCAACCUGCCCUUCAGAGGGGGACAACAGUUUGAAACGACUGCUAAUACCGCAUACUGAAGGUGGGGAUUGCGUCUGAUUAGCUAGUUGGAGGGGUAACGGCCCACCAUGGCGAUGAUCAGUAGCCGGUCGUAGAGGAUGAGAGGACACAUUGGGACUGAGACACGGCCCAGACUCCAACGGGAGGCAUCAUGGGGGAAUAUUGGACAAUGGGCGAAAGCCUGAUCCAGACAUGCCGGGUGUGUGAAGAAGGUCUUCGGAUUGUAAAGCACUUUAAGUUGGGAGGCGUUACCAACAGAAUAAGCACCGGCUAACUUCGUGCCAGCAGCCGCGGUAAUAC
rnacentral:rRNA from 1 species